UACAGAGGUCUCGAGCGUUGUUCGGAUUCAUUGGGCGUAAAGAGCGUGUAGGCGGCCAGGUAGGUCGGUUGUGAAAACUGGAGGCUCAACCUUCAGAGGUCGACCGAAACCAUCUGGCUAGAGUCCGGGAGAGGAGAGUGGAAUUCCUGGUGUAGCGGUGAAAUGCGCAGAUAUCAGGAAGAACACCCGUGGCGAAAGCGGCUCUCUGGAACGGUACUGACGCUGAGACGCGAAAGCGUGGGGAGCGAACAGG
rnacentral:rRNA from 1 species